rnacentral:rRNA from 1 species
GAUGAACGCUGGCGGCGUGCCUAAUACAUGCAAGUCGAGCGAACGGACGAGACGCUUGCUUCUCUGAUGUUAGCGGCGGACGGGUGAGUAACACGUGGAUAACCUACCUAUAAGACUGGGAUACUUCGGGAAACCGGACCUAAUACCGGUUAUUAUUUUGAACCGCAUGGUUCAAAAGUGAAAGACGGUCUUGCUGUCACUUCUAGAUGGAUCCGCGCUGCAUUAGCUAGUUGGUAAGGUAACGGCUUACCAAGGCAACGAUGCAUAGCCGACCUGAGAGGGUGAACGUCCACACUGGAACUGAACAACGGUCCAGACUCCUACGGGAGGCAGCAGUAGGGAAUCUGCCGCGAUGUGCGAAAGCCUGACGGAGCAAUGCCGCGUGAGUGAUGAAGGUCUUCGGAUCGUAAAACUCUGUUAUUAGGGAAGAACAUAUGUGUAAGUAACUGUGCACAGCUUGACGGUACCUAAUCAGAAAGCCACGGCGAAAUACGUG